rnacentral:misc_RNA from 1 species
CGGCUCAGCUUCAAAGCC